GUGGGGAAUAUUGGACAAUGGGCGCAAGCCUGAUCCAGCCAUGCCGCGUGGGUGAAGAAGGCCUUAGGGUUGUAAAACCCUUUCACCGGGGAAGAUAAUGACGGUACCCGGAGAAGAAGCUCCGGCCAACUCCGUGCCAGCAGCCGCGGUAAGACGGAGGGGGCUAGCGUUGUUCGGAAUUACUGGGCGUAAAGCGCACGUAGGCGGCCGGUCAAGUUGGGCGUGAAAGCCCGGGGCUUAACCCCGGAACUGCGCUCAAAACUGGUCGGCUAGAGACCGGAAGAGGAGAGUGGAAUUCCCAGUGUAGAGGUGAAAUUCGUAGAUAUUGGGAAGAACACCAGUGGCGAAGGCGGCUCUCUGGUCCGGUACUGACGCUGAGGUGCGAAAGCGUGGGGAGCAAACAGG
rnacentral:rRNA from 1 species